CCAGCAGCCGCGGUAAUUCCUAUUGUUCUACCCUCAAUCCUUUCUGAUGGAGUUCUUUGAUAUGAUAGUCAGCCAAUACGGGAGUAUCCAUAACUGCGCCCGGAAGUUGGGCAUCAACCACGAACAAUUCCACCGGCAGCUCCGGUCCGGCUCGGCGCCGUUCCUCAAUGCCAUCGCCGACAACUGCCGCAUAUCCCGGCAGGAAGUGCGGUGGGAGUUCAAAUUUUACCGCGAACAGAUAGAGACAUGAGAGAUAAGUUCACACACGAAGAGGACCGGAAGCUCGUCGCCCUGGUCAAUCAGUACCGCAGCAAGCAAGGCAGCCAAAUCCAUUGGGACCGCAUCCCGGUAGGCAAAUACUGGAGGACCCAAUCCUCCCUCACCGGACGCUGGAAUCGGUACGUCAAGCAUCAGGUAAUUAUGAAGGACGGACGCUACGUCCUUCCCUCGACGCUGUUCAAUCAAG
rnacentral:rRNA from 1 species